rnacentral:rRNA from 1 species
AUGAACGCUAGCUACAGGCUUAACACAUGCAAGUCGAGGGGCAGCAUUUUAGUUUGCUUGCAAACUGAAGAUGGCGACCGGCGCACGGGUGAGUAACACGUAUCCAACCUGCCGAUAACUCCGGAAUAGCCUUUCGAAAGAAAGAUUAAUACCGGAUAGCAUACGAAUAUCGCAUGAUAUUUUUAUUAAAGAAUUUCGGUUAUCGAUGGGGAUGCGUUCCAUUAGUUUGUUGGCGGGGUAACGGCCCACCAAGACUACGAUGGAUAGGGGUUCUGAGAGGAAGGUCCCCCACAUUGGAACUGAGACACGGUCCAAACUCCUACGGGAGGCAGCAGUGAGGAAUAUUGGUCAAUGGGCGAGAGCCUGAACCAGCCAAGUAGCGUGAAGGAUGAAGGCUCUAUGGGUCGUAAACUUCUUUUAUAUGGGAAUAAAGUUUUCCACGUGUGGAAUUUUGUAUGUACCAUAUGAAUAAGGAUCGGCUAACUCCGUGCCAGCAGCCGCGGUAAUACGGAGGAUCCGAGCGUUAUCCGGAUUUAUUGGGUUUAAAGGGAGCGUAGGUGGAUUGUUAAGUCAGUUGUGAAAGUUUGCGGCUCAACCGUAAAAUUGCAGUUGAAACUGGCAGUCUUGAGUACAGUAGAGGUGGGCGGAAUUCGUGGUGUAGCGGUGAAAUGCUUAGAUAUCACGAAGAACUCCGAUUGCGAAGGCAGCUCACUAGACUGUUACUGACACUGAUGCUCGAAAGUGUGGGUAUCAAACAGGAUUAGAUACCCUGGUAGUCCACACAGUAAACGAUGAAUACUCGCUGUUUGCGAUAUACAGUAAGCGGCCAAGCGAAAGCAUUAAGUAUUCCACCUGGGGAGUACGCCGGCAACGGUGAAACUCAAAGGAAUUGACGGGGGCCCGCACAAGCGGAGGAACAUGUGGUUUAAUUCGAUGAUACGCGAGGAACCUUACCAGGUCUUGACAUUGAUCGCUAUUCCAAGAAAUUGGAAGUUCCUCUUCGGAGGACGAGAAAACAGGUGGUGCACGGCUGUCGUCAGCUCGUGUCGUGAGAUGUUGGGUUAAGUCCCGCAACGAGCGCAACCCUUAUCUUUAGUUACUAACAGGUUAUGCUGAGGACUCUAGAGAGACUGCCGUCGUAAGAUGUGAGGAAGGUGGGGAUGACGUCAAAUCAGCACGGCCCUUACGUCCGGGGCUACACACGUGUUACAAUGGGGGGUACAGAAGGCAGCUACACGGCGACGUGAUGCUAAUCCCAAAAACCUCUCUCAGUUCGGAUCGAGGUCUGCAACCCGACUUCGUGAAGCUGGAUUCGCUAGUAAUCGCGCAUCAGCCAUGGCGCGGUGAAUACGUUCCCGGGCCUUGUACACACCGCCCGUCAAGCCAUGAAAGCCGGGGGUACCUGAAGUACGUAACCGCAAGGAGCGUCCUAGGGUAAAACUGGUAAUUGGGGCU